rnacentral:lncRNA from 1 species
UAAUAAACUUUUAUUUUGGACUUCAUUUAAAUUAUAAAUAAAUUAUUGCAAGACCAAUAAUAUUGCACUACUUAACAGUCUCAAGCCCACUAAUUAAAAACAAUAUAAAAAAGUUAACGUGAGCAAACUAAUGGCCCAAACUAAUAAUGGGCCAAACUAAAUAAUACUCUGAAUUGAGUCUCUUAAACAAAAGCAAUAUAAAAAGAAAAAUAAAUAAGAGAAACCCUAGACUUGCUUAGAUCCAUUCCAUUAGCGCCGCAGUUUUUUUUUUCUUCUUUUCUUCUUCUUCUGCAGUUCAGUUUUUAGCUUCUUUCUUCUUCUUCUUCAGUUCUCAUAGAUUCUUCUUCUUCUUCUUCACUUCUCAUAGCUUUACUCUCUACUUGUAACGCGUAGUUUACAUCAUUCGGAGAAUUUGACCGUGUAAUCAUACCGGCCGAGUCUCUUCGUCAAGCUAUGCGAGAAGAAGAAUGUUGAGGAUUUCAUCGUGAACAUUGGAUCCGGUGGUGGCGGUGCCGCCGUUGUAGUUGCUGCUCUCGUCUCAGUUGCGCUCCUACCGGCGGUGCUGCAGGCGCCGCUGCAACUGCCCCUGACCCUGCUGUCGAAGAAAGGAAGGUGCGCCACUGUUGUCGAAGAAAAGAAGAAACCUGUUGUCGGAAGAAAAGAAGGUGGGUGGAGGAGUUCUCUUUUCGAAAUUCUCCUACUAAUUGCAUAUUUUGUUUCUAUUUUCUGCAUUUUUUUUUUGCUUUUAUUUCAAGAUUUUAGGUUUCUAAUUUAUGUUCUUUCCCAUUUGCAAUAUUUUUUUGUGCAAAUGAUUUACAGAAUCAGUUAAAUACAAAAACAACACAAAUACAGAAUCAGUUGAUAAAUACUGCAAAAGUACAAAAUACAGAAUCUUUGAUGCCAACUUAUAUUACAAAAAUACAUCUACAGUCUUCCUAUAAAUCAUGAAUAUAUAUCUUGAGUGAUUCAUUCAUGCUCUUUUUUUGUGGCUAUUGCAGAUCUCAGAAAUUCACGCUCCAUUGAAAGAUUCAAAUGAUUCAAAUCUCAUCUGGAGAUGAAGUUUAGACUCCCAACAACAAUGUAAAAAUAGACUUUUGAAAGAAUAUAUUUUAAAAAGAACAAAGCUUUCUUCAACAAAGAAAACAAAAGAUUUUUCGAAAAAUUAUGAUAGAAGAAUAUUACAAAUCUGAAAGAAGAGGAAGGAGAGUAAAAAUUUAGUAGCUAAGUAUCAACUAUUUAUAGAUUGUAAAAAUUGAGUUAACAGAUUUAAAAUUCAAAUUUGGGCUCCAAACUUGGAGCCAAAAAUGCAUAACUUUGCAAGGUCCAGCAGAUAUAACAGAUAAUAUUAUUCACUGGAUAAAAAGAAGUGUGCAUUGGCGG